UUGUUUUAUUUUUUGUAGAGAUGAGGUUCCUACUAUGUUGCCCAGGCUGGUCUCAAACUCGUGGGUUCAAGCAGUCUUGCUGCCUCAGCCCCACAAAGUGCUGUGAUUACAGUGGCGACUGAUCUGCUUACAGUUCUUCAUGCAUCAGUUCUGGCAUAUAACUUGAAGAUUUGAAAGAACCCAAUUGCUAAGCUUUCUUGAGCAUCUAGUCUAUUGUGAGUUAUAUGGUCUUGGUAAUUAAAUAAACAGGAACAAUUUGAGAACAA